CAUUAGCUAGUUGGUAAGGUAACGGCUUACCAAGGCGAUGAUGCAUAGCCGAGUUGAGAGACUGAUCGGCCACAAUGGAACUGAGACACGGUCCAUACUCCUACGGGAGGCAGCAGUAGGGAAUCUUCCACAAUGGGCGCAAGCCUGAUGGAGCAACACCGCGUGAGUGAAGAAGGGUUUCGGCUCGUAAAGCUCUGUUGUUGGAGAAGAACGUGCGUGAGAGUAACUGUUCACGCAGUGACGGUAUCCAACCAGAAAGUCACGGCUAACUACGUGCCAGCAGCCGCGGUAAUACGUAGGUGGCAAGCGUUAUCCGGAUUUAUUGGGCGUAAAGCGAGCGCAGGCGGUUGCUUAGGUCUGAUGUGAAAGCCUUCGGCUUAACCGAAGAAGUGCAUCGGAAACCGGGCGACUUGAGUGCAGAAGAGGACAGUGGAACUCCAUGUGUAGCGGUGGAAUGCGUAGAUAUAUGGAAGAACACCAGUGGCGAAGGCGGCUGUCUGGUCUGCAACUGACGCUGAGGCUCGAAAGCAUGGGUAGCGAACAGGAUUAGAUACCCUGGUAGUCCAUGCCGUAAACGAUGAGUGCUAGGUGUUGGAGGGUUUCCGCC
rnacentral:rRNA from 1 species